rnacentral:rRNA from 1 species
GGGGGGGGGGGGGGGGGGGGGGGGCGGGGGGGGGGCGGGCGGGGAGGCCGUGCUUGGGGGGGGUGGUCGAGGGGCGGCGGGGUGAGUGACACGGGAGUCGCCUGGCCUUGGCUGUGGGAUGACUGCAGGAAGCUGGGGCUACUACCGAAUAGGAGGUCCUUCGGGAUGGUGGGGGUUAGAUGGGUUCGGCGGGUGGGGAUGGACUCGCGGCUGAUCAGCUUGUUGGUGGGGUAGUGGCUUACCAAGGCUUUGACGGGUAGCCGGCCUGAGAGGGUGACCGGCCACAUUGGGACUGAGAUACGGCCCAGACUCCUACGGGAGGCAGCAGUGGGGAAUAUUGCACAAUGGGCGGAAGCCUGAUGCAGCAACGCCGCGUGCGGGAUGACGGCCUUCGGGUUGUAAACCGCUUUCGCCUGUGACGAAGCGUGAGUGACGGUAAUGGGUAAAGAAGCACCGGCUAACUACGUG